AGUUUUGUAGCUCGGUUGAUUAGAGUGUUGGUCUUAUGAGCCGAAGGUUGCGGGUUCAAGCCCUGUUGGGACUA
rnacentral:tRNA from 1 species